rnacentral:rRNA from 1 species
ACGCUAGCUACAGGCUUAACACAUGCAAGUCGAGGGGAAACGACAUCGAAAGCUUGCUUUUGAUGGGCGUCGACCGGCGCACGGGUGAGUAACGCGUAUCCAACCUGCCCACCACUUGGGGAUAACCUUGCGAAAGUAAGACUAAUACCCAAUGAUAUCUCUAGAAGACAUCUGAAAGAGAUUAAAGAUUUAUCGGUGAUGGAUGGGGAUGCGUCUGAUUAGCUUGUUGGCGGGGUAACGGCCCACCAAGGCAACGAUCAGUAGGGGUUCUGAGAGGAAGGUCCCCCACAUUGGAACUGAGACACGGUCCAAACUCCUACGGGAGGCAGCAGUGAGGAAUAUUGGUCAAUGGACGAGAGUCUGAACCAGCCAAGUAGCGUGCAGGAUGACGGCCCUAUGGGUUGUAAACUGCUUUUAUAAGGGAAUAAAGUGAGUCUCGUGAGACUUUUUGCAUGUACCUUAUGAAUAAGGACCGGCUAAUUCCGUGCCAGCAGCCGCGGUAAUACGGAAGGUCCGGGCGUUAUCCGGAUUUAUUGGGUUUAAAGGGAGCGUAGGCCGGAGAUUAAGCGUGUUGUGAAAUGUAGACGCUCAACGUCUGCACUGCAGCGCGAACUGGUUUCCUUGAGUACGCACAAAGUGGGCGGAAUUCGUGGUGUAGCGGUGAAAUGCUUAGAUAUCACGAAGAACUCCGAUUGCGAAGGCAGCUCACUGGAGCGCAACUGACGCUGAAGCUCGAAAGUGCGGGUAUCGAACAGGAUUAGAUACCCUGGUAGUCCGCACGGUAAACGAUGGAUGCCCGCUGUUGGCCUGAAUAGGUCAGCGGCC